GGACAUCUGGCUGUGACAUCUGUCACCCAUUGAUUGCCAGGAUUGGUUCGGCUGAUCUGGCUGGCUAGAUCACCACUCCAUGUGCCUCCCUCUCAAAGCUGGUGUGGUGGGUUGAAGAGGAGCACUUUCUCAGAUAAAAGAGGGCUGUUCUAGUGGUGUAGUGGGCUGUGAUCUGCAUGAUUGGAAGUUCAAAUCCACUAGCAGAUUCAAGGGAGAAAGACUGGACUUUCUGUUCCU
rnacentral:snRNA from 1 species